rnacentral:rRNA from 1 species
UACGGAGGUUUCCCUCGUUCUCCGUCUUUCCUGGGUUUAAAGGGUGCGUAGGUGGACAGGAAAGUCAGUGGUGAAAUCUUCGAGCUUAACUCGGAAACUGCCAUUGAUACUAUUUGUCUUGAAUACUUUGGAGGUAAGCGGAAUAUGUCAUGUAGCGGUGAAAUGCUUAGAUAUGACAUAGAACACCAAUUGCGAAGGCAGCUUACUACACAGUUAUUGACACUGAGGCACGAAAGCGUGGGGAUCAAACAGG